AAUAAAUCAAGUGUCCUUAAGUGUGCUGAGGUCAUCUUUAGUUGAGGUGUUCCUUCAGCAGUCCAAUUUGACUUUGACAACCUCAAUUUUUGGGCAGCCUUCUAUGUUUGAGAUUUUGAGNUUCCUGGGGGUAUCACUGUAAUCCCUGUGCCCUAUGCUUCCUUUUGGCAGAUGCCCCAGAUCCUCUUUAAUUUUACCCUCAAUAAUUCAUUAGCUGAAAUACUGGAUAAUCUCACUGAGUUAAGGGACCAAUUGAAGUUUGGAUUGCAUUUGAGGCCUUAUGAGAAUGUAGUUGUGCAAAUAACAAACGUGGCUGGCUCCACGAUAAAUGCCCCAGUCACUGUUCAGGCUUCUGUCAUAUCAGACCUAGGGAGCCUUCUGCCACAGAGAUUGAAACAGUUGGCUCAAACAAUCACAGAUUCUCCCUCAAAGAAUCUUGGCCUUGAUAACUCAGUUUUUGGUAAAGUAAAGAGUGUUAUUUUAUCAUCAUAUUUAAAAGGUACACUUCAUGCAAACCCUCCAACUCCUUCACCUGCUCCAUCUCCAGAGCCCAGCGAUUAUGCUGAACCUCCAAUUUCCCCAUGUCCUACUUCUUGUCCAUCACCCCUUCCAGCGUCCUCUCCAUCAGAUGAUAGUCCUUCACAUGCAACAAGCCCAAAAAGUGGGCCACACCAUUCUUCACCUCCUGUAAAUUCUCCAGCACCUUCUGUGGUAACAGCUAAUCCUCGAGCUCGUCACCCUUCUGGACACCAUGGUUCUCCAAUAUCUCCAAGCUCAUCACCAUCUUAUUCUAACCGAAGUCCUUACUUACGUCCAGUGGAUCCCCCAUCACAACUGCCCACGGAUCACUCUCCUUUACCUCAAGUAUCCUAUGGUUCCACACCAACCAAAGGUCCAGUAUCUCAAUCACUUGCUCCAUCUCCAUCUUCACCAUCUCCAUCAUCCGUAUCAGCAAGU
rnacentral:misc_RNA from 1 species